rnacentral:lncRNA from 1 species
AAACCACAGAGGAAGAGAGAUGAGACAGAAGGAUAGAGAGGAGGAGGAAAGAGGAGAGAAGCAACUGGAAAUAGGCAGCCAAUAAAAAGGAGCCGCACUUAUCUGAAGCCUCAAGAAGUUCUGGAGAACACACGCAAGUCAGAAGGCAGAGAAGUAAAAAUGGAGAUGUUUAUUAAGUCCCGCGGAGAGGCGAAGGACACAAGAGAAGAAAGGGAACCACAGCCCUGGUAUCACCUCAGCUGGCCCUCAUAACGUGAACACUGAUAACACCAUGGAUACUGUAAAGCUACAGGAUUAGGGCCUGUAAGACACCAAAUGAAGUGUUGUUUAAAAACAAACAAACAAACAAACAAAAACCCAUCUAGAUGUUCCUUAUGGAAAAUCAAUAAAUAACUUCUUAAAAAAAUAAAAAAAAA